AUGGGGAUACUCUUCUGGAGAGCCCAGACGACAUCUCUUCCCAUAUUUACUCCUUUUAUAAGGAGCUUUUCUCAGCUGAGCCAUGCGGAGGCGUCUCCCUUUGCGCUGACUUUUGGUCGCUUGCUGACCAGGUCUCCGAUGCGGAGAAUGCGGAACUUACUCUCCCAUUCUCCCCUGAGGAAGUGGGCCGGGUGGUUGCUUCUAUGA
rnacentral:rRNA from 1 species